GACGGGGGGGGCAAGCGUUCUUCGGAAUGACUGGGCGUAAAGGGCACGUAGGCGGCUUUGUAAGUUAGAGGUGAAAGCCCGGGGCUCAACUCCGGAAUUGCCUUUAAGACUGCAUCGCUAGAAUUGUGGAGAGGUAAGUGGAAUUCCGAGUGUAGAGGUGAAAUUCGUAGAUAUUCGGAAGAACACCAGUGGCGAAGGCGACUUACUGGACACAUAUUGACGCUGAGGUGCGAAAGCGUGGGGAGCAAACAGG
rnacentral:rRNA from 1 species